UACAGAGGGGGCAAGCGUUGUUCGGAAUUACUGGGCGUAAAGGGCGCGUAGGCGGCCUGUUAAGUCGAACGUGAAAUCCCCGGGCUCAACCCGGGAACUGCGUCCGAUACUGGCAGGCUUGAAUUCGGGAGAGGGAUGCGGAAUUCCAGGUGUAGCGGUGAAAUGCGUAGAUAUCUGGAGGAACACCGGUGGCGAAGGCGGGUCUCUGGGCCAUUACUGACGCUGAGGAGCGAAAGCGUGGGGAGCGAACAGG
rnacentral:rRNA from 1 species